rnacentral:rRNA from 1 species
UUGUGAGGUUAAGCGACUAAGCGUACACGGUGGAUGCCCUGGCAGUCAGAGGCGAUGAAGGACGUGCUAAUCUGCGAUAAGCGUCGGUGAGGUGAUAUGAACCGUUAUAACCGGCGAUUUCCGAAUGGGGAAACCCAGUGUGUUUCGACACACUAUCAUUAACUGAAUCCAUAGGUUAAUGAGGCGAACCGGGGGAACUGAAACAUCUAAGUACCCCGAGGAAAAGAAAUCAACCGAGAUUCCCCCAGUAGCGGCGAGCGAACGGGGAGGAGCCCAGAGCCUGAAUCAGUGUGUGUGUUAGUGGAAGCGUCUGGAAAGGCGCGCGAUACAGGGUGACAGCCCCGUACACAAAAAUGCACAUAUUGUGAGCUCGAUGAGUAGGGCGGGACACGUGGUAUCCUGUCUGAAUAUGGGGGGACCAUCCUCCAAGGCUAAAUACUCCUGACUGACCGAUAGUGAACCAGUACCGUGAGGGAAAGGCGAAAAGAACCCCGGCGAGGGGAGUGAAAAAGAACCUGAAACCGUGUACGUACAAGCAGUGGGAGCCUCUUAAUGGGGUGACUGCGUACCUUUUGUAUAAUGGGUCAGCGACUUAUAUUCUGUAGCAAGGUUAACCGAAUAGGGGAGCCGAAGGGAAACCGAGUCUUAACUGGGCGUUAAGUUGCAGGGUAUAGACCCGAAACCCGGUGAUCUAGCCAUGGGCAGGUUGAAGGUUGGGUAACACUAACUGGAGGACCGAACCGACUAAUGUUGAAAAAUUAGCGGAUGACUUGUGGCUGGGGGUGAAAGGCCAAUCAAACCGGGAGAUAGCUGGUUCUCCCCGAAAGCUAUUUAGGUAGCGCCUCGUGAAUUCAUCUCCGGGGGUAGAGCACUGUUUCGGCAAGGGGGUCAUCCCGACUUACCAACCCGAUGCAAACUGCGAAUACCGGAGAAUGUUAUCACGGGAGACACACGGCGGGUGCUAACGUCCGUCGUGAAGAGGGAAACAACCCAGACCGCCAGCUAAGGUCCCAAAGUCAUGGUUAAGUGGGAAACGAUGUGGGAAGGCCCAGACAGCCAGGAUGUUGGCUUAGAAGCAGCCAUCAUUUAAAGAAAGCGUAAUAGCUCACUGGUCGAGUCGGCCUGCGCGGAAGAUGUAACGGGGCUAAACCAUGCACCGAAGCUGCGGCAGCGACGCUUAUGCGUUGUUGGGUAGGGGAGCGUUCUGUAAGCCUGUGAAGGUGUGCUGUGAGGCAUGCUGGAGGUAUCAGAAGUGCGAAUGCUGACAUAAGUAACGAUAAAGCGGGUGAAAAGCCCGCUCGCCGGAAGACCAAGGGUUCCUGUCCAACGUUAAUCGGGGCAGGGUGAGUCGACCCCUAAGGCGAGGCCGAAAGGCGUAGUCGAUGGGAAACAGGUUAAUAUUCCUGUACUUGGUGUUACUGCGAAGGGGGGACGGAGAAGGCUAUGUUGGCCGG